rnacentral:rRNA from 1 species
UUACCUAGAGUUUGUGGGCUUUGCCCGCUACCUCUUACCCAUGUCUUUUGAGUACUUACGUUUCCUCGGCGGGUCCGCCCGCCGAUUGGACAAAAUUAAACCCUUUGCAGUUGCAAUCAGCGUCUGAAAAACAUAAUAGUUACAACUUUCAACAACGGAUCUCUUGGUUCUGGCAUCGAUGAAGAACGCAGCGAAAUGCGAUAAGUAGUGUGAAUUGCAGAAUUCAGUGAAUCAUCGAAUCUUUGAACGCACAUUGCGCCCCUUGGUAUUCCAUGGGGCAUGCCUGUUCGAGCGUCAUUUGUACCUUCAAGCUCUGCUUGGUGUUGGGUGUUUGUCUCGCCUCUGCGUGUAGACUCGCCUUAAAACAAUUGGCAGCCGGCGUAUUGAUUUCGGAGCGCAGUACAUCUCGCGCUUUGCACUCAUAACGACGACGUCCAAAAGUACAUUUUUACACUCUUGACCUCGGAUCAGGUAGGGAUACCCGCUGAACUUAAGCAUAUCAU